UACGUAGGGUGCGAGCGUUGUCCGGAAUUAUUGGGCGUAAAGAGCUUGUAGGCGGUUUGUCGCGUCUGCCGUGAAAAUCCGGGGCUCAACCCCGGACUUGCGGUGGGUACGGGCAGACUAGAGUGUGGUAGGGGAGACUGGAAUUCCUGGUGUAGCGGUGAAAUGCGCAGAUAUCAGGAGGAACACCGAUGGCGAAGGCAGGCCUCUGGGCCACUACUGACGCUGAGAAGCGAAAGCGUGGGGAGCGAACAGG
rnacentral:rRNA from 1 species